AUUUGGGAGAUCUGUUCAAAAAAAAAAAAGAAAAAGAAAGAAUCUGAGGACCUAUAUGUAAACCCUAAGGACCUAAUCGUGAAUAUGAUAAAAACAAGGACUAAACUGCAAAAUGCACCAAAUGACAAAUUCCACCGCUUAAGCUUCUCUGCCUUCGUUGUUAAGGAAGCAGAGGAGGCAGCUCGUGGGUGAUCAGGGAAAGAAAGAAAGAAAGAAGAAGAAGAAGAAGAAGAAGAAGAAGAAGAAGAAGAAGAAGAAGAAGAGAAAGAAAAUUGGGGCUUUUAGGGCUCUUGCUUUAAUCUUGUCAUUUCGGGUCAAAAUUUCCAAAGGAUAGCGUAUCGCUUGCUUAAAUGUUAAGAAUGGGCUGAGGCAGUGGAAAGUUUAGAAGACGUUGGCCAGAACUUUUGUUAGCAUAUAUGUAGUUGUGUAUAAGCUACCUUGCAUCUAAUGAAAUGUGACUAUGAAUCUAAACCUGUGGAUUUUGUGUAAGUUAAAGGAUCCCUCAUGUAUAGGGUUUGGAAUGUUAAAUUAAAUUCGUGUAAUGAUAUGAACUUAUGGUAAAUCGAUGAUUGUGGUGACUGCAUAGAUUUCCCCA